rnacentral:rRNA from 1 species
AUUGAACGCUGGCGGCAGGCUUAACACAUGCAAGUCGAACGAGCGGCGGACGGGUGAGUAAUGUCUGGGAAACUGCCUGAUGGAGGGGGAUAACUACUGGAAACGGUAGCUAAUACCGCAUACCAUCGGAUGUGCCCAGAUGGGCUUAGCUAGUAGGUGGGGUAAAGGCUCACCUAGGCGACGAUCCCUAGCUGGUCUGAGAGGAUGACCAGCCACACUGGAACUGAGACACGGUCCAGACGCCUACGUGAGGCAGCAGUGGGUAAUAUUGCACAAUGGGAGCAAGCCUGAUGCAGCCAUGCCGCGUGUGUGAAGAAGGCCUUCGGGUUGUAAAGUACUUUCAGCGGGGAGGCGUUACCCGCAGAAGAAGCACCGGCUAACUCCGUGCCAGCCGCCGCGGUAAUUC